AGGACAUCACUUGUCUGAUUGUCAUUACCAUUCACGCCACUGCCUACUUUUGUGACACAGAGUUGUUCCUUGUGAGGCACCAUGAACAGAAAAUAAACCCAGAGGUAGUUUGGUGGACAACCUAAGGAGGGAAUGAACAUUUGCUAUUCCUCUCUCCAUAAUCCCUUUGCUGAUGUUGUGUGUCUCAUAAAUCUUCUGCUUAUUCUCCAAACCAAACAGCAUACAAAGAUCUGGGUUCCUGUGGAAGAAGACUUUCACCAGAGUACACAGCAAGAGUCCCUUUAAACUUCAAUCCUUAGCUGUUUAGGCUGAGGGAAGCAUGAAGACCUGGAGUUCAAACCCCCUUGGGAGUGAAUAACUUCUUGGUCAACAUACGAAUAAGACCCUAAGCCAGUGAAGAUGCUAGUUAAAAUUGACGGGAAUCUAGAACUGGUUUUUAAAAAAGAAAAAAAAAAGAGAGAGAGAGAGAGAAGCAAAUUAUGUCUUCAAGACCAGCUACAGUGGUGAUGUUGAAGUUUUUUCCACUAAACUUCCUGUUGCAAUUUACCCCAAGAAAUAUGAACAGUGCAAAUCUUGAAUGAAGAGUUUCCAAAAUGUAUUACAUAAAGUAUGUGGAGCUGAAGAAAGCAAAAGGUUGGACUAUAAUGGAUGCUCUUUUGUGCCUCCAAGAUACACCCUUCAGUUCUGAGGCUUUCAUUUGUCCGCCCCCUGAGAUUAUUGCUGCCUGAUGUCUUUCUCCUGAGCCUUGAGACUUAUGAAUUGUCCUUGGGCAAAGGGAGCUGCCUUACCAGAAGAGACCCUCUUUCUCUAGGACACUACUUAUCAAAUGGCUAUUGAUAUGAUAGUGUAAAUGCUUGUGCCCCUAUAUAAAAGCAGAAUUCUAAAGAACCAUUUUAGCAGAGCUGCCCAAGAGAUUGGCCAAGGCCUCCUUGAGACUGUUUCACAGUUCAAGUUCUUUUUCUCGAUCUUAAUUUUUUUAUUUCUCAAUAGGUAUUAAUCCUGAGAACUCUCCUUAAUAAAAUUAUUAUGUGCAAA